UUAUGGUCAUAUCAUGUUGAAACACAGGUUCCCCUCUGAUCACUGAAGUUAAGCAACGUUGAACCCUGUCAAUACCCAGAUGGUUGACCACUGGCAAAUACCAGGUGCU